rnacentral:RNase_P_RNA from 19 species
UGAGUAAACCGGAUGGUCGCAGGCGCUUGCAAGCGCCUGAGGAAAGUCCGAGCUCCGCAGGGCAGGGUGCUGGAUAACGUCCAGUGGAGGCGACUCCAAGGAUAGUGCCACAGAAACAGACCGCCCAGCACUCAAUUCGACAGUUGAACCCGGCCUGCUAUAAGUAUCCUUAAUUUCAGGUUCGGGCCUCACCUGUCGAGUUGAGUGCUGGGUAAGGGUGGAAAGGUGAGGUAAGAGCUCACCAGCGGUUAGGCGACUAACCGGCUCGGUAAACCCCACCUGGAGCAAGACCGAAUAGGGGGACAAAAGGGGUGGCCCGCCCCGUCCCCGGGUAAGGUCGCUUGAGGCGCCAGGCAACUGGCGUCCUAGAUAGAUGACCAUCCACGACAGAACUCGGCUUACAGGUUUGCUCAAAAG